rnacentral:lncRNA from 1 species
GUAAUAUUGAUCAUAAUAUCACUAACAGUUAUAACGAAAACUCCACCUGCAGUGUUAACAACUUCACCAAUAGUGUUAACAACUCCAUCAAAGAUGUUAACGAGGAUUCUAUAAAUGUUGAUAACUCAUUUGUUAAUGAUAGGGUUAAUCAAAGCGCUUUUAUUGAGAAAGUAUAUGACCAUAAUGUUGAUCAAAUUGAAUCAAACAAAGAAUUUACAAACGUUUUACCUCAAUAUAAAACAGUAUCACAUCUUAAUGAAAACUAUAUACACAACACUAAUCCACUCGAAAAAAAAAAAACACACACAAAUUAUAUGAACACAAUCAAUAUGGGUCAUAAAAAUGUAAUACAUAAUACACAACCACCAAUCGCAAUACAUGACAAAAUAAUAUACAAAAUGAAAAAUAACAAAAUGAACAAUACACGACAAUAUGGUGGAAACACUUUUAAACAAGCAACCAUUCGAACUGAUUAUAAAAUUAAGCAUGAACAAAAUAUGGAUAGCUAUGUUAACACAUCUUUACUAAAAAAUGAACAUUCUUUUAUAGAAAAAAAUGGUGAAAAAGAAAGAAUACAUUUUAACAAACAAAUAAAUAAUAUUCCUAAAAACUUGAAUGACAUUCCUAAAAACUUGAAUGACAUUCCUAAAAACUUGAAUGAUAUUCGAAUUAUGGGUGGUGCUGAAAAUUGUAGCAGUAGUAGUAGGAGUAGUAGCAGUAGUAGUAACAAAUGUAGCUACAAUAAUAAUAACAGUACAAAGAACAUUAAUAAUAGUGAUAAUAAUAAUAACAUUCAUAACACCAAUUCUGGAAAGGUAUAUGACUCUUUUUAUGAGAAAGAAUACGAGUUACUCUACGAAGAAGUAAAAGAAAUAAUGAAAAAAAUGAUUAUUAUAAAUAACAAAAAAUAUGAUAAAAUAAAUACAAUAAACAACAAAAUAAAUAAUUUAAAUAGUAAAAUAACAAAUGAUAAUAUUAUAAAUAAUUUAACUAAUGAAAUAA